rnacentral:rRNA from 1 species
AGUCGUAACAAGGUUUCCGUAGGUGAACCUGCGGAAGGAUCAUUAAAAAAGGAUGUCACUUGUGGCAUACCCCAUCCGUGUCUAUAUACUCUUGUUGCUUUGGCAGGCCGUGGUCUUGACCCUGUGGGCUUCAUGCCUGCAAGUGCCUGCCAGAGGACCAAACUCUGAAUUUUGUGAUGUCUGAGUACUAUAUAAUAGUUAAAACUUUCAACAACGGAUCUCUUGGUUCUGGCAUCGAUGAAGAACGCAGCGAAAUGCGAUAAGUAAUGUGAAUUGCAGAAUUCAGUGAAUCAUCGAAUCUUUGAACGCACAUUGCGCCCAGUGGUAUUCCGCUGGGCAUGCCUGUUCGAGCGUCUUUAAAACACACGCCUUUGCGUGGUAUUGGGAGCUGCGGUUCGCUGCAGCCCCUAAAAAUCAAUAGCGAUACCCACUGGUCCUACGCGUAGUACAAUACCCCGCUUAAGGAACGUGGCUCUUUCAGCCCUAAAAUUAGGAGUCUCGGGUAACCGGACGCCUAGUACGUAGUUUGACCUCGAAUCAAGUAGGGAUACCCGCUGAACUUAAGCAUAUCAAUAAGCGGAGGAAAAGAAACCAACAGGGAUUACCUCAGUAACGGCGAGUGAAGCGGUAAGAGCUCAAAUUUGAAAGCUGCCAACAGGUCGCAUUGUAAUUUGUAGAAGAUGCUUUGGGUGGAGGCCUAGUCUAAGUUCCUUGGAACAGGACGUCAUAGAGGGUGAGAAUCCCGUAUGUGAUUAGUGCCUUCCCCCGUGUAAAGCUCUUUCGACGAGUCGAGUUGUUUGGGAAUGCAGCUCAAAAUGGGUGGUAAAUUUCAUCUAAAGCUAAAUAUUGGCCAGAGACCGAUAGCGCACAAGUAGAGUGAUCGAAAGAUGAAAAGCACUUUGGAAAGAGAGUUAAACAGUACGUGAAAUUGUUGAAAGGGAAGCGCUUGCAAUCAGACUUGCAGGCGGUCGAUCAUCUGGGGUUCUCCCCAGUGCACUCGAUCGUCUUCAGGCCAGCAUCAGUUUUCGUGGUGGGAUAAAGGCUGUGAGAAUGUGGCUCUUCGGAGUGUAAUAGCUCACGGUGCAAUGCCGCCUACGGGGACUGAGGACCGCGCUUCGGCUAGGAUGCUGGCGUAAUGGUUGUAAGCGACC